GACGAACGCUGGCGGCGUGCUUAACACAUGCAAGUCGAACGGAAAGGCCUCUUUCGGGGGGUGCUCGAGUGGCGAACGGGUGAGUAACACGUGAGUAACCUGCCCCUGACUUUGGGAUAACUUCAGGAAACUGGGGCUAAUACCGGAUAGGAGCUCCUGCUGCAUGUUGGGGGUUGGAAAGUUUCGGCGGUUGGGGAUGGUCUCGCGGCUUAUCAGCUUGUUGGUGGGGUAGUGGCUUACCAAGGCUUUGACGGGUAGCCGGCCUGAGAGGGUGACCGGCACCAUUGGGACUGAGAUACGGCCCAGACUCCUACGGGUGGGAGAAGUGGGGGAUGUUGAAAAAGGGGUGGAAGCCUGAGGCAGACACGCCGUGGGCGGGAUGACGGUCUUCGGGUUGUAAACCGCUUUCGCUCACGACGAAGCUUUGUGUGACGGUAGUGGGUAAAGAAGCACCGGCUAACUACGUG
rnacentral:rRNA from 1 species